rnacentral:misc_RNA from 1 species
UUUCCGUAGGUGAACCUGCGGAAGGAUCAUUACUGAGUGAGGGCCCCUCGGGGUCCAACCUCCCACCCGUGUUUAACGAACCUUGUUGCUUCGGCGGGCCCGCCUCACGGCCGCCGGGGGGCAUAUGCCCCCGGGCCCGCGCCCGCCGAAGCCACCUGUGAACGCUGUCUGAAGUAUGCAGUCUGAGACAAUUAUUAAAUUAAUUAAAACUUUCAACAACGGAUCUCUUGGUUCCG